UACGUAGGGGGCAAGCGUUGUCCGGAUUUACUGGGCGUAAAGCGCGUGUAGGCGGCUACGCAGGUCCGUUGUGAAAACUGGAGGCUCAACCUCCAGACGUCGACGGAAACCGUGUGGCUAGAGUCCGGAAGAGGAGAGUGGAAUUCCAGGUGUAGCGGUGAAAUGCGUAGAUAUCUGGAGGAACACCGGUGGCGAAGGCGGCAUCCUGGACCGGUAUUGACGCUGAGGCGCGAAAGCUAGGGGAGCAAACGGG
rnacentral:rRNA from 1 species